UUUCAGAUUGAUUGCUAGGAGCAAGUUAUACAUUAAAGGAAGAAAAAAGAGAGAAAAGAACCUGGAGAGACUGAUACCACACAUCACGUCACUGAUACACAAGGUGGCAUUGCCAGGAUAGACUGACUGAGCAAAUCACCAAUUUAAUUUGGAAUUAAGUGCACUGAGGUGGAUAUUUUUUACAAUUAGUGAUGAUGUGGCUCAAGAAGUAAUUUAUUCCUUCUUUCUGGGAUAACUGAUGAAUUAUGUGCUUGUGACACAUGCUGACAGGGUGUAGUCAUACUUCUCAGGCACAGAUGAAUGACUGAGAAAACCCUCCCUGCUAUACAAUUAUUACUCAGCUUGCAUUCACAUGGGAAAUAGGUCUGAGCAGAGUGACUACAGCUUUGCUGCAUGGAGAGAGCUGGAAAGCUAGCUGCUGGUUGCAAAAGAAGCAAAACUCCCUGGGAUAAAAUUUGUCUGGUAUGGGAAGCAGUGAGUUUACUCUCAACCCUGGGGAGAGGCAGUGCAGCCACGGGGAGUGGCUUCUCCCUUCCCAUCAUCCCGGGUACAUCUUGCACCCAGGUAGGCUGUGCCCAGAAAACCUGUUGAGUCUUCUGUGAUGUCAUGGAAGACACAAAGGGACAUGAAGUUCAGAAAAUUUGUCUCUGAGGAUGAGGAGCUCAGCUUGCUUGCAGAACUGUUGUGAGCAUUGCAGUAGAGACAUAUCACCAACAGGCCCAUGGAGUUUAUCUCAGUUGCAUGCCUGCCAUCUUCCUAGUUAUUUAGGAAUACAUCUUGAGGGAUAGAAUAACAUCUGAGAGCUGAAUGAACCUCCUCGCUUCUGGUGGGCUGACCUCAGGAGGAAGUGGUAGAGAAAUCAGCUGGGAGUAACCAGCUAUUCAAAACAGAUCAAAAUCCUAACCAAGAAACUUCCUGAAAGGGUUACCGGGGAGAGGAUGUAGAAACACUCAGGACAUUCACAACCUGCUAGCCAGCAAACUUUUGGAAAGAAACGGCAAAGCAAGGCGGCCUCUCCUCUGCUAAUCGAGAGAAAUAAAGAGUUGAAAUACCCCCUGGAAGUGAUGGAAAAUCAGUAUUUUAACUUCUGAUGCUGUGUCAAGUACAUGGAAAGAAAAGAGAAGAAAACUCUCCUAUUUGUCUGCACAGCUGCAAGGAUAAGCUGCAAAGUGGAGCCAGAGAGCAGAACCUGGAAUGAGGAUGUGCUUGUUUGGAUGAACACAGUUUCCACGUAUAAAUGCAAUAAAGGGAAAACACUACAUAAAUUCACUUGCUGACUGUUUUGCUCCAGUGUCAUGGCCCAAGAACAAUCACCCAAACUCAUCCAUGUGCGAAAAUUGUAAUACUGGAAAGGGCUUCUAUGCUUUCUCUCCAUGGUAUUUCUUUACAAUGACAUUCCUCUGUAAGUGGAUACAGAAAUAACUUCAGAUUAUAAAUCGAAGCGGGCAGUACAAUCGAAGUUGUAUUUGUUUAGUG